AGUCACUGACAUUAGAUACCCGCGUAGUCCAGGGUGUAAACGCUGCAGACUUGGUGUUGGAAGUCCUUUGGGGGCAUUCAGUGCCGGAGAGAAGUUGUUAAGUCUGCUACUUGGGAGUACGUCCGCAAGGAUGAAACUUAAAGGAAUUGGCGGGGGAGCACCGCAACGGGAGGAGCGUGCGGUUUAAUUGGAUUCAACACCGUAAACUCACCAGGGAAGACUGUUACAUGAAAGCCGAGAUGAAGACUCUGCUAGAUUUUCAG
rnacentral:rRNA from 1 species